UACGUAGGGUGCAAGCGUUAAUCGGAAUUACUGGGCGUAAAGCGUGCGCAGGCGGUUUUGUAAGUCUGACGUGAAAUCCCCGGGCUCAACCUGGGAAUUGCGUUGGAGACUGCAAGGCUGGAGUCUGGCAGAGGGGGGUAGAAUUCCACGUGUAGCAGUGAAAUGCGUGAGAGAUGUGGAGGAACACCGAUGGCGAAGGCAGCCCCCUGGGUCAAGACUGACGC
rnacentral:rRNA from 1 species